rnacentral:misc_RNA from 1 species
CAUGCCUGCAGUCUCUGCCC